AUCGCUUCUCGGCCUUUUGGCUCAGAUCAAGUGUAGUAUCUGUUCUUAUCAGUUUAAUAUCUGAUACGUCCCCCAUCGGGGGACUACAUAUUAAAUGGGAUUUUUCGAACAGGGAGUCGGAAAUGGGGCUUGCUCCGUCCGCUCCACGCAUCGACCCGGUAUUGCAGUACCUCCGGGAACGGUGCAACACUU
rnacentral:snRNA from 1 species